AAGGGUUCGGCUGUUCGCCGAUUAAAGUGGCACGCGAGCUGGGUUCAGAACGUCGUGAGACAGUUCGGUCCCUAUCUGUUGUGGGCGUAGGAAAUUUGAGAGGGCCUGCCUCUAGUACGAGAGGACCGAGGCGGACGUACCUCUAGUGUACCUGUUGUGACGCCAGUUGCAGCGCAGGGUAGCUAUGUACGGUUGAGAUAAGCACUGAAAGCAUCUAAGUGCGAAACUCGCCUCAAGAUAAGAUUUCCUUAUAAGGGUCGUUGGAGACGACGACGUUGAUAGGCUGCAGGUGUAAAGGUAGCAAUACCAAAGCCAAGCAGUACUAAUCACCCGAAACUUUUUUCG
rnacentral:rRNA from 1 species